rnacentral:rRNA from 1 species
AAAUAAAAGAACAUGAUGUUGGUUCAGAUUAAAUGCUAUGUAGAGACAUAACACAUGCAAGUUAAAUUAAAUUUAGCGUACAGGUGAGUAAAUAAGGAAAUAAAGAUCCUUAAUCAGAUGUAGGUAAUAGAAGAAAUUCUAGCCAUAGAACUGAAACCGAUAAUGAGAGUUAGAACGGUCACAUUAAUAGAAACCUUUAUUAAAAAAUAAAGUCCUAUAUUAACUUUUAUAUAAAGCAGCAGUGAGGAAUAUUUGACAAUGGUCUAACGACUGAUCGAGUUAUCUACGAGGAGGAAAUUAAAAAUAAAAAAAAAAAAAUAAUAAAAGAAAAACUAUAAACUCCAAAUAAAUAUUAAUAAUGAUAAUAUUUAUAGAUAGUCCUAACUAAAAUAUGUGCCAGCAGUUGCGGUUAGACAUAGAGGGCUAGCAUUGGUCAAAAUGGCUUAAAGGGUCUGUAGAACGAUUAUAAUCAUCAAAAGAUGAUAAUCUUAUUAUUAUAUAAUAUUAUAUAUAUAUAUAAUAAUAAGAAAAUUAGAAUAUAUAAAAGGUAAUAAGAACUAAUCUAAGAGAGAUAAAAUGCAUAGAAUAGAUUAUGACUAUAAAGAGAUUACUUAAAAUAUAUUGACGUUGUGAGACGAAGGCUACGGGAAUGACAUGGAUUCGAUACCCAUUUAAUCGUAGCAGUAAACUAUGAGUACAAUAAAUUAUAACAAGUGAAAAUGAAUAGUACUCCGCCUGACUAGUACGCUCGCAAGGGUGAAAUACAAGACAUUAGACGGUUGUAGUCACAAGCAGUGGAACAUGUUAUUUAAUUGGAUAAUCCCCCUUAAACCUUACCAUUAUUUGAAUAUUUUAUAUAUAAUUCAUUAUAUGAAUUAUAUAUUUUAUACAGGCGUUACAUCGUUGUCGUCAGUUCAUGCCAUGAGGUAUAAUAUUAAGUUAUUAAAUGAACGUAAUCCUUUUUAAUUUAUGUAUUAUCGAAAGGUAAUAGGAAGUAGAGGUAGAAGACUAAUCAUGAUGACCCUUAUAUAAUGGGCAAUAGACGUGUUACAAUAUUAUCUACAAUUAUAUUAAUAAUAAAAUUUAAUUAAUUUAAAAGAUAAGAUUAUGAAAUUUUUCAAUAAAGGAUUAUAGCCUGCAAUUUGGCUAUAUGAAGGAGGAAUUGCUAGUAAUCGUAAACUAGAGUGUUACGGUGAAAUUAUUUGCUACUUCGUACUAACCACUCAUCAACAGCAAGAAAUAUUUAUUAUCAUUUUUUAUGAAACUAUAAAUAGGACUUGCUGUAAGUUGAAAUACGGUUCGGUUAGGGGAACCUGAUCGGGAUAUAUAGAUAUU